GUCCACUAGAGGGGACUUUGCCACAAGAGGGCAAGAGCGUCCUUUGACAGAGGGAUGGAAGGAGAGAGUAGGGGUGCCCCAAGCCUGGGCAGGCGGCAGGGGCUGGGAGGCAAAUCUGGUGCACACACAGCCAGGCCAUGUCCCUCCUGCCCCCGAGAGCUAAGAGCUACCCCCACCCCAAACCCCUCCAUCCCCCGCAAAGGGUGAGCCACGGGAGUCACCUGAGAGGAGAAGAAGGAAGCCCUCUGGCCUGGGGUCCAGCAGGUGAGCUGUGUGCGUCCUGGGGUCACACCUGUUAGAUCCCCGGUCUCAUCGCUCCCCCAGGUCUCAGAAGGGUCAGUACUGGACACCCCACAUCCCAGCCCAGAGGUGGCCGAGACACAGAGGCCCGGAGUCUCUGAAAAGGAACCUAGAGAUUCUUCUGGAAGCUGGGAUUCCAGGGCAAGGCCCUGCCAGAGCCAGGGAAGGCGUGGGGGAAGGGGCAGCUGUAGGGCCCCCUGGCCCCACCUCGGGUCAGCAGGAAGAACCUGGGGUGGGGCAGGGAGGGCAACGGAGCUCGGGGGUUGCGGGAGGUCACCGGCGCCCCUUUACCUGGAAACGUUGGCAGCAGACACGGGCUGGGGAGACAGUUGGCGGAAGUGGGUACAGGUGUGGACGGGCCCAGGACCCCGCUGAGGAGUGGUUCUCCUGGGGAGCACGACACCCCAGUUCAUGCAGCUCUCGCUCUCUGGGUGCCCUGCUCUUCCGUGUGCGAAGUGGCGUGUCCGCUCCCAGCGCCUCCUCCGCCCCUUUCGGAAGGUCCAGGCUCCUCUCGCUCAACAAAGAGGCAAACACACAACCAAGGUGGGAGCCGCCCACGCCUCGCUGGGCUCCGUGGAAGGCAGAGCGGGGCGUGACGUCCCCCGGCUCAGAGGCACGGCCGCAGACACCGCAUCAUUCACUGGUCCUCCGGGGCGUGAGAUGCAAGCGUCAUCGUUUGUAAAAUUCCCACAAAUCUGUGAUUCUGUCUCUGGCCUUUGGGUCCUGACCCCGCAGACCUACUUGUCAGCGUCGGCCCCGGGCCAUGGUGCGUGAUCAGGGCGGCUUUACGGCACCGCGUCCCCUAAAACGCACCUGCCAGCUGCCCUUGCGCAUUUUCACAUGAAGUUCAGCAGCGGGGGUUAGAGACCCAUCCUGGCGAGAGUCUUCCUGGGAGCGGGUCUCUCCCCCCAACUACAUCAGCUCGGCUCGUCCUCACUCCACUCCUGGGUUUUGUU
rnacentral:lncRNA from 12 species